UCUGGUCUCACAGUCUCACCUCGCAGUUGUUUUUGUUGGGAAAAAUAAACAAUAAUUUAGCUGGUUGUUGUGCGCGAACCAAAAGUGGAAAUUAUGCGAAUCUCGACAGCGAAAGGGCAACGCGAUGCUGGCAAUGAAAGUGUAGGCGCGGCUUUUCCGGAUUUUCCAGCUUAUCGGCACUCGUGCACCUGUAUUGGCAUUUCCACCGUUUUUUUCGCCCAUGGAGCUGCAAUGGCGACCAAGUUGAGAACGAUCAAUUCCGCUAAAUAGAAAGAGCAAUCAAGGAUAAAGAGCGGUGUGAGGAGAGGAGAGCGGUACGUGGGUGCAGGCGAAAAUAGCGAGAAAGAACCGUUUUAGUCGUCGACGAAGAGUUCAUAAAUGGCGAAUAAGAGUGCGAAAAGGCAAUGAAAAGGGGCAAACCGUGGGUUAUAUAAAAAUAUAUAUAUGUAUAUCAAGUGCCACGAAAUGCAGUCGUUGCAAAAAUCGAAAAUAAAUCAAUGAUUUAGACGCAAAAUCCAGGAAAAGAAGAAGAAGCAGCACAGCUGAGUGCGUGUGUGUGAGCGCUGUUUGCUUGCAAGUGUGGGUUCGUGUGUGUUGUGAGCAAGUGAAAUCAAUAAUAUUUGCAGCCCGAAAAAAGCAUAAACACUGCAAUAAUGUCGAAAAAUUAAAUUAAGGCAACAAAUUAGCAGGGCCAUAAAUCAAGGCUGCACUGAGCGGAAAUUGUGCCUUUCAACGGAUCUUCUGUUGCACAGCGAAAGAAGCAAAAUCAAAAAAUAAUGGAAUUUUAACAAAGUUUUGAAAGUGUACUUCUGGUGCAAGAAGCAGCAGCAGCAAUAGCUAGAGGAAUCGGA